rnacentral:lncRNA from 9 species
AAGAGCAGCCUGUGGGUGACUCAGCAGCGACAACGCCUGCCCCGACCUGAUAAGUCCUCCUACAAUGAAGGGCCUAAAGCAACUGAAUACCCAGAGACCAGAGAGAGAAAAGGAUCGCAUCUGAGGGAUUAGGGAAGAUGGCCUUUAGAAGGGCUGCACCUGUGGCAUAUGGCUGGGGUCCAAUCAGAGCUACAGCUGCUGGCCUACACCACAGCCACAGCAAUGCAGGAUCCAAGCCGUGUCUUCGACCCACACAACAGCUCACAGCAAUCCUGGAUCCUUAAUCCACUGAGUGAGCCCAGGGAUGGAAUCCGCAUCCUUAUGGAUACUAGUCGCGUUUGCUACCACCGCGCCAAAAUAGGAACUCCUGGAUGGGUUUCCGAAGGACAGUUUCAUCUCCUCCAAGACAGGUCCUGAGGGGAGGGCCACACUUCCCACUCAGUGUGAGCCAACAGGUCUAUGUCACCCUCCAGACUGGGGGUCCCCUCAUGAGGGGACCACAGAGGAUGAGCGAAAGAAACAGUGAGAGAUGAGGACACUGAGAACAGAGCUCACUUUAUUGGGAAAAGAGAAAGUUGGGUCCUUGGUCUCAAAACAGGACCUGGAAGAGGCAAAAGCCAGGUGUUUGAAUCAAGCGUCAUUUGAACAUGCCCGCCUCCCUCACCUCCCAAGUGGGGCAGCUCCAGUUACAAGCACCAGCGGCCCCCGCCCCCCAACCCCAGGCUGUGUUACCAAUGGACAUCUGUUUCUGGGAUCAAGGAACGUGAGGGAAAUGUCUCCUUCUCUCCCAGCAUGGCAGUGCCCUCAGAACCCAUCAGCUCCUACCUCUAACCCUCCAUUGCACAGAGGCCCAGAAAGGGACAGAACCCUGCCCAGAGGCACACAGUCAGCAAGUGCAGGAUGGAGAGUCAAACCCGCAUUCCUGUCUCCUGGCUUGGGACUCAUUCCAAGAGAAGAUUCUAGAAGAUGGGCCCCAUCAAAUGGGUAUCACCUGCCCUGACACUCGCCAAGAGACUCCAUCCCCAUGACUCAUAGGUGCAAGCCAGAAGACGCAGGCCAGUGCCACCUGGGGACCUCCUAGGGUGGGCCCCUGGGAGGGCGGUGCUGCUGAGGACAAAAGGGACAGCUAUGGGGAAGGUGCUUGGGAAGAAGACAUCCUCUUGAAAUUUGCUUCUCUGAUGAGUGCAAUCCUACCUUCUGAAAUCCAAGAUGGUUAAAAAGCAAAGUCCUUCGCUCCUGACCCAUCUACAGCAUCCAGAGACGGCCAUCAGAGCAGCAAUAACCUAGAAUGUUAGAUAAUGUCAAAAAGCUCCAUUUGGAGUUCCUGCUGUGAUGCAAUGGGAUCAGCAGUGUCUCUGCAGCACCAGCAUGCGGUUCAAUCCCCAGCCUGGCAGUGGGUUAAAGCAGGUGUUGCCACAGCUGCAGCAGCGUAGGUCUGCAACUGCAGCUUGGAUCCAGUCCCUAGCCCGGGAAAUCCCUAUGCCGUAGAGUGGCCAAACACGGGAAAAAAAAGCUCCACUUGUCGAGCACUUAUAUGCACCAGGCACCUCAUUGAUCCACUUGGUGGAUUAACUGCCUUGUGCCAGUUGCAGCAUCAGUUGCUGGGAAAUUUGUGAGACUAAAACAGACAUGAUCCUUCACUCAUAGCUUCUUUGUAAGUCUUCACAACUUCUUGGUAGGCAUGGUCCCCCAUGAUUAAGGAAAUGGGCUCACAGAGUGAGGUGAUUUCCCAAGGUUACACAGCAAAGACAUGGCAAGCAGUCAAAAAAAUCACAGAACAAGCUGGCCUUCCAAGACACAGAGGGACUAGAUGGGAGAGGGACCUGCCAAAGUCACAGCAGUUUCUUGAGUGGCUGGCACCUGCCCCUGCUACAAAGGUGAUGAGAAACAGAGCUGGCAGGGAGCAUGCUCAGUCCACACCUGUGAGCUAGACACAGGAAUCCCCACAGUGCCCCCGCGUAAUCACAGAAUGUCCUCUUGGGAGCCAGGAGGAGGUAAGCAGAGGAAGUGAACUUGAUGGAACCAAGAUGGGAUUCUAGCUGGCCCAGCCAUGGACAAGCUGUGUGGCCUUGGGAAAAUCAUUCCCCUCUCUGAGCCUCAGUUUCCUCAUCUGUAAAAUAGGGGUAAUAAUAAUGCCUACUUCACAGUCAUGUGGUGAAGAUGAAAUGUUACCCCAUGUAAAGUGCCUGGAACCAGGAAGGGCCCUGUGUGCCAUCUGUAUUAUCUAUUAUAAUGACACUGGCCUCUCACUGAGAUCUGCAUCUGGGGAGGGCUCUGCACAGGUGGGGCUCAUGGCAAGUGGUGCUGAUGGAGCCAGAACCUUAGCAAGCCCCCAGCCCAGCUCGCCACUCUGUCAGGAAGUCCAUCCUGAAGACACCUCACCAGCCCCUCUCUGGCCCUCAUUUUGAAUUUCCAAGCUGCCUGACCCCAGGACCAGCCUGCUAUUCUAGUCCCUGCUCUCCCAACACCUGCAAGCUCAGAGUAGGGGGGCGGGGUCCAGGUCCUGACCCUCUGCCGUCACCCCCCUACACAUACCAGCUCCCAGCACUAGGUGCUCAGUGCCCAGAAAUGAAAUAAAGGAAGAAAUGAUGAUGAGUAAGUAAGUGAUGAGAAAAGGGGUGUGUGUGUGUGUUUAAGUGCUGGAGCCAGGAUCGGGGGGAAUCACUUCAUAGGGGUUUUAGAGCCUCAAAGGUGCUCCCUGCCUGGAUCUGCAGUGGUUGCAAGGCUGAGGAUCUGCAGCUGAUGACAGAGGGGCUGGUCUUCAGGCAGAGGCCCCGCAGGGGCCCAACCUGUGUUAUUGCUCCUCCAAGUUCUCUCAGGACAUAGUGACUCCACCUUGUGGAACAUUUCAAAUUCCACCUCAAGCAAACCUCUUUAGACAGCAGCCUCUGGCACCCCCAUUACUAUUGCAGAAUAACCUUAUAUCAGGGCCCCCUAUGUGCCAGGCAGAAUCUCUAGGCCUCAGAGAGGGUGCUUGGAAACAAAGUGACUUGCUUAAGAUCACAUUGCCAGUAAGUGGACAGGAAUCUAGCAAAAUCAGGAUACUCACUAGAAACUGAGCAUCAUAUUAGAGACUGACUCAUUCCCUCACCGUAAAUCUAGGAGGAAACAGGAGUUCCCAUUGUGGCUCAACCGAAACAAAUCUGACUAGUAUCCAUGAGGAUGCAGGUUCAAUUCCUGGCUUCGAUCAGUGGGUCAAGGAUCCAGUGUUGCCGUGAGCUGUGGUGUAGGUUGCAGAUGCAGCUUGGAUCUGGCAUUGCUGUGGCUGUGGCGAGAGCCAGCGACUGCAGCUCUGAUUCAACUCCUAGCCUGGGAACUUCCAUGUGCCAUGGUGUGGCCCUAAAAAAGACCAAAAGAAAAGAAAAAUCUAGGAGGAAACAGAAGCUCAGAGAGGGUAAAACCUUGCCAAGGUCACACACCCAACCAGUUAGCAUCAGAAGUGAGAGUUGAAUCCAUUGUUGGGGCUCCCCAGGCCAUGCAGAAAAGUGAACCUGAGGGCUCUGGUUUACUCCCAUCACCCUCCUGCCCUCCCCACCCAGCCUCUCUUACAUGACACUUGACAUUAUCCAUCACUCCCUCCCCCUGGGAACGCCCUCCUCCUCCAGUUUCCAUGGCAGCACAUUCUCCCCAUCCUCCUCUUGUUUCUCUGGCAGCUUCACAUCUCCAACAGUGGCUCCUGAGCCUACAAAGCAGGGGGGUCCCCAGGCUUGGUCCCACAUCUCGUCUCCCUCCAUCGCUACCUCCAAAAGCUCAUCUCCUUUUCCCUCUAGAUCUCUAACUAUCACUUUGCACUGCCGCUCCACUUUUAAGUAAUAAAAAGCUCUUACCAAG